rnacentral:other from 1 species
AAUUUCCUAGAUUGUACGUUUGGUGAUUAGUUGUUGAAUCCUAACAUCUCUGAUAAGGGAAUCUGACGUUCUGAUGCGGUGUUGAAUGCCUAGCUUUUUUCACCUAGGACUCCUAAUGCAUUAGACAGGAUACCCACCUGCUAAUUUAGCGGGUUUUUAUCCUAACACCUACGGCAGUUUGGGUAUUAA